rnacentral:rRNA from 1 species
UACGUAGGGGGCGAGCGUUAUCCGGAAUUAUUGGGCGUAAAGAGUGCGUAGGUGGCCAUGUAAGCGCGGGGUGAAAGGCAAUAGCUUAACUAUUGUAAGCCUUGCGAACUGUGUGGCUUGAGUGCAGGAGAGGAAAGUGGAAUUCCUAGUGUAGCGGUGAAAUGCGUAGAUAUUAGGAGGAACACCAGUGGCGAAGGCGACUUUCUGGACUGUAACUGACACUGAGGCACGAAAGCGUGGGGAGCAAACA